AUACCUAUCGGCCAAUACCCGGUAGACUGACAUUACCUAUACAAGAAGCACCGGCUAACUCCGUGCCAGCAGCCGCGGUAAUACGGAGGGUGCAAGCGUUAAUCGGAAUUACUGGGCGUAAAGCGUGCGUAGGCGGUUCGUUAAGUCAGAUGUGAAAGCCCCGGGCUUAACCUGGGAACUGCAUUUGAUACUGGCGAACUAGAGUUGAGUAGAGGAGAGUGGAAUUUCAGGUGUAGCGGUGAAAUGCGUAGAGAUCUGAAGGAACACCAGUGGCGAAGGCGGCUCUCUGGACUCAAACUGACGCUGAGGUACGAAAGCGUGGGUAGCAAACAGGAUUAGAUACCCUGGUAGUCCACGCCGUAAACGAUGUCAACUAACCGUUGGGUUCUUAAAGAACUUAGUGGUGGAGCUAACGUAUUAAGUUGACCGCCUGGGGAGUACGGCCGCAAGGCUAAAACUCAAAUGAAUUGACG
rnacentral:rRNA from 1 species